rnacentral:rRNA from 1 species
UAAGGAAUAUUGGUCAAUGGAGGGAACUCUGAACCAGCCAUGCCGCGUGAAGGAUGACGGCCCUCUGGGUUGUAACUACUUUUGGUAUGGGGCGGAAAAAACGGGAAGUUUAUCCUGGACUGACGGUACCAUCAGAAUAAGCACCGGCUAACUCCGUGCCAGCAGCCGCGGUAAUACGGAGGGUGCAAGCGUUAUCCGGAAUCACUGGGUUUAAAGGGUGCGUAGGCGGUUGUAUAAGUCAGGGGUGAAAGCACGCAGCUUAACUGUGUAAUUGCCUUUGAUACUGUACGGCUUGAAUAGGGUUGAGGUUGGCGGAAUGUGACAUGUAGCGGUGAAAUGCAUAGAUAUGUCAUAGAACACCGAUUGCGAAGGCAGCUGACUGGGCCUAUAUUGACGCUGAGG